AACUUUGAAAUCUUCUAACCCUAAAUUCUGCAGCCACCAAUCAAAUUUUCUUGCUUUCAUUUCCUAUCCUCGUAGAUUAUUUUUUCCAUCGACGAUUUGAAGAUUUACUAUGGCCGGUAAAGGAGAAGGUCCGGCGAUCAGAAUCGAUCUUGGAACCAAGUACUCUUGCGGAAUGGAAAUGGCCGAAAUGGAAAUGGAAAUGGAGGAAUGCUCCUUUGUUGUCUCUUCAGACCCUCACAGUCAGAAGAGUCUUUUGCUGGAAGUUAAGAAUUUGACUGCUGUAAUUGCAGAAACCAAGCAAGAGAUUCUCAAGGGUGUUAAUCUUGUUGUUUACGAAGGAGAGGUUCACGCCAUCAUGGGAAAGAAUGGUUCUGGAAAAUGCACAUUUGCAAAGAUAAUUGAAGUCAUAUCGGGUUGAAAGCUAAGCGAUUGUGCAGAGAUUGCCAAGCGACCGUUGAAAAUUGAAGACUGAGAAGGUAGGGGUACAGCGAGGGGCAGACCAACGAGAGGCAGGAAGGAUGCGUGAAGGCCAUAUGGACGCGUCUGGUUUUCUUAUCGCUUCCGCUAUGUAUUUUGUCAGAAUAUUUUGACUUGUGAUUUUGAACUGGUGACUUGGUAUUUUAUUUUGUGACUUUUUGAUUAUUUAAAAUAGGGCCCGAAACUGUCUUCUGUAAGAUUUUUAAUGUUUUAAUGAAUCGUAACUGGUCCGUUUUAAAUUUUAUGUUGAAUGGUCGAGUUUUGGUGUUUGGUAGUGACCUCAGCUUAGUCCGGAAAGUUGGGUCGUUACAGUUUAACAUGGUCAAUACAAUUGUUUAUAUUUGAAGCAUUUUUUCUAUCAUAAAAAAGAACUACACGAUCGUGUAGAUAUUACUUACACGACAAUGUAUCAUUUCUUACACGAGCGUGUAUCAUAAUCGUUUAGAAGAAAAA